UACGGAGGGUGCAAGCGUUAUCCGGAUUCACUGGGUUUAAAGGGUGCGUAGGCGGGUUGGUAAGUCCGUGGUGAAAUCUCCGAGCUUAACUCGGAAACUGCCGUGGAUACUAUCAAUCUUGAAUAUCGUGGAGGUAAGCGGAAUAUGUCAUGUAACGGUGAAAUGCUUAGAUAUGACAUAGAACACCAAUUGCGUAGGCAGCUUACUACACGAUCAUUGACGCUGAGGCACGAAAGCGUGGGGAGCAAACAGG
rnacentral:rRNA from 1 species